ACGGCUCAGUAACACGUGGAUAACCUACCCUUAGGACUGGGAUAACCUUGGGAAACUGAGGCUAAUACCGGAUAGGCAAUUUUUCCUGUAAUGGUUUUUUGUUUAAAUGUUUUUUCGCCUAAGGAUGGGUCUGCGGCCGAUUAGGUAGUUGGUUAGGUAAUGGCUUACCAAGCCGUUGAUCGGUACGGGUUGUGAGAGCAAGAGCCCGGAGAUGGAACCUGAGACAAGGUUCCAGGCCCUACGGGGUGCAGCAGGCGCGAAACCUCCGCAAUGUGAGAAAUCGCGACGGGGGGAUCCCAAGUGCCAUUCUUAACGGGAUGGCUUUUCAUUAGUGUAAAAAGCUUUUGGAAUAAGAGCUGGGCAAGACCGGUGCCAGCCGCCGCGGUAACACCGGCAGCUCUAGUGGUAGCAAUUUUUAUUGGGCCUAAAGCGUCCGUAGCCGGUUUAAUAAGUCUCUGGUGAAAUCCUGUAGCUUAACUGUGGGAAUUGCUGGAGAUACUAUUAGACUUGAGACCGGGAGAGGUUAGAGGUACUCCCAGGGUAGAGGUGAAAUUCUGUAAUCCUGGGAGGACCGCCUGUUGCGAAGGCGUCUAACUGGAACGGUUCUGACGGUGAGGGACGAAAGUUAGGGGCGCGAACCGGAUUAGAUACCCGGGUAGUCCUAACUGUAAACGAUGCGGACUUGGUGUUGGGGUGGCUUUGAGCUGCUCCAGUGCCGAAGGGAAGCUGUUAAGUCCGCCGCCUGGGAAGUACGGUCGCAAGACUGAAACUUAAAGGAAUUGGCGGGGGAGCAC
rnacentral:rRNA from 1 species